CUCCGGCAUUGCUGCAUCCGCACUAAGGAUAUCGCCACUAUAACCCACAUACGUGCCACCUUCCGGGUGUUUUUAACAUCGAUUCUGUUGGCACAUUUAUUUAUCAACAUUCUGUAAUAUUUACCACUUUCAAUAACUUCAUCAACAUUCUUGCCCUUCAGUUCUUUGAUAAUGAGAUUAACUUUAGAAGAAUCAGAUUCAAUACCGACAGAACUUAGGAUUUUUUCGAUUUCAUCAUUGGAUGGUUCUUUUCCGCUG